rnacentral:rRNA from 1 species
CCUACGGGGGGCAGCAGUGAGGAAUAUUGGUCAAUGGGCGGGAGCCUGAACCAGCCAAGCCGCGUGAGGGAAGAAGGUACAGCGUAUCGUAAACCUCUUUUGUCAGGGAACAAAGGCGGGGACUAGUCCCCGGCUGAGGGUACCUGAAGAAAAAGCAUCGGCUAACUCCGUGCCAGCAGCCGCGGUAAUACGGAGGAUGCGAGCGUUAUCCGGAUUUAUUGGGGUAAAAGGGUGCGCAGGGGGCCUGGUAAGUCAGCGGUAAAAGCCCGGGGCUAAACCCCGGCGAGCCGUUGAAACUGGCGGGCUGGAGUGGGAGAGAGGUACGCGGAAUGCGCGGUGUAGCGGUGAAAUGCUUAGAUAUCGCGCGGAACCCCGGUUGCGAAGGCGGCGUACCGGAUCCAAACUGACGCUGAGGCACGAAAGCGUGGGUAUCGAACAGGAUUAGAUACCCGAGUAGUC